UUCAAUAAAGUCCUGGCAGUAAUAUGUUGGAUUUGUGGGAAACAGACAAACUAAACUCACUUCGUAAGAACCGUUUGUCACCUUCUUGUUUUAAUAAGGAAGAAGAACAAGGAGAAGAAGCAGAAGCCUUACAGGACCAACCUAAAUUGGUAGAAUUAAGGAAGUUUUUAGUUCCGCUGCUAAUACUGAGAUAUAUAGAAAGCUUGCAUUUUUCAACCACCUUUGGCAAUUUGCUUCCAACGAUUCAACAUCUCCCUGGUAGACACCUUUGGCAGCUUGGCACUGGAUGUUGCUCUGAGGACAACGAAGAAAUGGUGAGCGAAGAUGAUUACGAAAUUUGAAUACUGCUGCAGGAGUUACAGAGUGUGGACAUCAAACUGCAGUCAUUCUGGCCAAACUGAUGUUCAGCAAAGGAGGAAUGCAACACUUCCUGUUGCGACGUACCCUGUAUCCUGUUUUCCACAAUCAGUGGUCAUGCGUGUCAUUCCCCUCUGCAAAGCAGCAUGGGCACAGUCUUGUCACCCUGUUCUGUGAAAUUUUAAAAGUCUCCAAAGGUGUAAAAAAAAAAAAAAAUCUAUCAUCAGCAGAAAUUAGCACUUUAAUAGAACUGUAAACGUAUGCAUGCCUGUUGAGAAAUGGCUGUGGGUUUAGUCAAAAAUUUGAUCAGGCAAAUCACGUUAUUGUGAAAUAGCAGACUUUUGUAGCAGUAAGGAAAGUUUAACAGCAGAAGUAUUUGGAAACCAGCAGACAAUGUUUUCUUUGAGUAUUAGUAGCAUCUUAAAAUAAGUGUAUGGAGAAACAGUGAUGCGAACAUUGACACCUCCAUAUAGCCUGUGACUCGAGGGGCCAAGCUAUGUCACCAUGAUUAAGAGGUGCCAACAGAACUGUUUGCGUGUUUGUGCAUGCUUUUGGCCAUCACAGAUACAUAUCUUGUGACAGCGUUUACUCUGAAAACUGUGAAAAGCACAGUUACAGCCUGUGGUGCAACCAAACCAAAUGCAGCUCUGUUGGCCAGAGGUGCAGGUCACAAGAAAGGAAUUUCACAAUUUGACACUUACACUUAAAUAUGCUGAAGGUUUUAUUUUAUUCACUUAUUCUCAACACAGAUUUUAAUACUUUCAGAGUGGUUCCUUCCGAACAGUGAGACUGUAUGAAUGUAUGAUUUUACCAGGAGACCUUUUGACUUUUGUCAGUGUAGGAAGGGCACAUGCCUAUUUGGCAUUUUAUUCAAUAGAGGGCCCAUUGUUGUACCUGUUAGAAUUUUGUUGCAACUUGCAGAGACUUGAUCAGCUCUGCAUUAAAGCAAGAAGCUAGAUAAACAGGGAGGCUGCAUCAAAAUAUAUAAUACAAAAACGUAGUUCAGCUAAAGAGAAGCACAUGGUGAGAUAUGGUUAAUCAAAGACUUACCCUAAAGCAGAAUGCUCUAUUAUAUGACCCACUGUGACCCUAGUCCAACUUUAUGUAAAUAUUAAGAUAUAUUUACUAAUCAGUUCAGAUAUUAUUAUUGUGAAAAUUCAAUAAUAUUCAGCAAGAAGGUCCUAGGUUUGAAUCCUGGGUAUUCCAGCUUCCUCCCACGGCCCUAACACAUGACUCUUGGGUCUUUCUAAAUUCCCCUUAGGUGAGAGUGGGUGUAUGUGACUGCAUGGCAGUGUUGUGUCUCUGUGUUGCUAUCUGAUGGAGUGGCAACCUGUCCAGGAUGUACCCCACCUCUCGGAUGGAUGGAUGGAUGGAUGGAUGGAUGGAUGGAUGGAUGGAUGGAUGGAUGGAUGGAUGGAUGGAUGGAUGGAUGGAUGGUUGGAUGGAUGGAUGGAUGGAUGGAUCCUCUGCUCACAAACAGUGCUAAUAUGCUCACUGAAUUGGUAAGAACCUUUGUGUGUUUCAGAUUUAAACACAAACACGCUCAUUCACUAAAGAAAUAAAUGUCCUUAUUUGCAAAAAAGCAUAUCCAAACCAGAGUUUGGACAUCCAUGUAAUUUACAAAGCCCAUAAGGAAGACUUGUUCCUCAAAUUACAUAGCAAGCAAAUGACAAAAUCUGCAUUGAUGCCGUAUCCUCGCAUUUAAACAGGGCCUUGUGCAUUUAGGAGAGUAAACUAAAAAAGUAUCUUGUUCCCAAAGACCAGCACUUUUUGCAAGACGUAGAAAUCAAGUCUUCUGAAAGUUUUUCGUCUCACUAAAAUAAGGCAAGCAAGUCACUGAAAGUAUAACUGAUUCUCUAUUCCAGUAAGGGGGGUGUUUGAUAUACAAAUAUAUUUCCAAAGCAAUGCAUACAAUCUUGUUGUUUCUGUUUUAUAUUAAGAAAACAAACUUUUUAAAUAUAGAAAAUCACAACACACAGUGCUUCAUAUUCAGUGAGUAACAAACAUAACUCAAAUAAAAUAAAUAUGACCCUUAUGUCUGCUUUGGCUGCCCAUAAUAAGGGACACUGGACCUCUAUAUUUGCUAGAGUUGGAACAAACACUUAGGGCGAGGGGAACCCUGAGGAUACCUGCAGGGAGAGAGAACACCCCUAACAACCUGAGAGAGAGAAACCAAUAACCCUUUUUCUCAUUUCUUAUUAUAAAAAACAGGACACUAUAACAUUAAAAAAAGCACAAAUUAUUGUUUUACCCUAGCAUUUAUGUACAAAUUGAUGCAGCACACAUCAUACAUAGACAGCAAAGAUUUUUAGUUAGACUUAAUCUGUUGAGAGACUGAAUCAUUUCACUUUUGUUUAUAACCUGUAGCUCUACAUACAUUUGUUUAGAGAGUCCUUCCUGAAUAUGAUUCUUAUGUUUUAAUGUUGGCAGGUUGUUGGAGUUAGUCGUGAGGAAGUAUUUUUCUCUUUCUGUGUCCUGUCUUAGCAGAGAAAAAUGGUUUUUAGACUUUGAAGUCAAAACCGAAGCAUCUUGAUGCAGUGAAAUUGGCAUUCUAGAACAAAUUGAGAUGGAGCAUAUUGUGGGCACAAAAGAUGAGAAAAAAUGAUGCAGUGGAGUACAGUGCAGUGCAGAAUGACAGAUACUUUUGAAAAACUGUUUAUUGCUCUGCAAUGGAGUGGCGACCUGUCCAGGGUGUACCCCGCCUCCCGCCCAUAGACAGAUGGAGAUGGGCAACAGCUUCCCCACAAUGGAAGAAGUGGUAGAAAAUGACUGACUGACUGUUUAUUUCUUUUUAUGCAUGAAGGUGACUGUAGGUAAGAGGAGGUGAGACUGCUCUAAUUACACCAGCCAAACCCUGUGAAGUUUUCUAGUGGAAAAUGUACAAUUUUCAGGUUAUGAAAUAAAAUGACAUGAAACAAGCUAAUAAAUCUUAAACUAAGAACUUUACAAAAAAGGAACAGUUUUUUUCAGCUGUCUCAUGAAAGUGCAAAUAAUAUUUUCUACAAAGUCUUUUUUAGGAAGAAACACGGAAAACACCAACUUUCAUCACAUAAACACAGAUAAAGGCCAUGGGAUUGUCUAUUUCAGGAUGAAGCUCAAAGUUGUUCUGAUGCAAAACAGUUUUCAAUAUCCAGAGCCAUUUUUACCAUAGUAACCUUUGAUGUCUGAACCCAGUCAUACUGUGAAUGCUGAAGUAAACAGGAAUUUCAAAUAAUGUGCAGACAUCUUCAACCACUCCUCAUAAUGUGGUAUUUCACUUCUAAGAAGCCAGAUGCCUUGCAGUUUUUCAAAAGGUCUUAAAAAAUAAUUUUUCAGGCUCUCAAAUGACCUUUGACAGUGGUGCCUGGACAUAUAUUGCUUCAUGUUACAUUCAUUUUCAAUUUGAAGCCUGUUACUGAGAUAUUUAGUUAGUUAUUUGUUUUUUUCAUCUUUUAAAUAAACCCCUCAAAGAAAAAUCUUUUGAAGAUGAAUAGACAUCUAACCUAUUGGGUUUUAAAACUGUAGUGGCCACAUAUACAGGUUAACAGGGAACUAAGUGUUUUUGGCAUCACAUAGAGGAAUUAUUAUAUCCUAAUAUUACUAUGACUCCAGAAAACAUUAUAUUUUCUCUAAAAAUGAAAAAUAAAUUUGUCAAUUCAGUGUUGGUCUUCUUCCCCACAGCACAUGCAGACUGGAAAAGACAAGGCUUGUAACAUUUCCACAAUUGUUUUAAAUAUGUGCAGUCUGCCUUUUUUACUGUUUGCAACUUUAUCUGCUACUUUUGGCCCUGAUGAAGGUGCAUAUGUAACAGUGUUGAAAUUAUUCAAAUGACUAGAUAAAGACCUAUUGGCAAUUUUGUCAUUGUGUUACCCGAUGUCCUAACUAUUUAAUAAUAUUUUUAACACUUUCAUGUAGCAAUUGCAUUUUUGUGUAAAUAAGGCCCACCUAUGUCAGCAAAACCUAGAUUAGUAGAAAUAAAAUUGGCUGUUUGAUGUAGAAUUAGAUAGUAUGAUGAAGUAGGAGGCAUCUAAAAUGCUAUUAAAUAUGCCUUGAAGUAAUUUUGCACAUGGUAAAUAAAUAAAUCUUUAGAAAAGCACUUGCAUGUGAUCUGUUAUGGUUUAUAUGCUGUUUAUAAGGUUGCAAUCUGUCUGCAGAAUAUGGGAAAGAAAAAAAAGCAGAUCACCAUGAACUGAAUAAUUUAUUUAUUAUUUAUUAAGUAGAUAAAUAAGAAAUAUACAAUUAAUCCUGGCUUUACUUUAUAAGCAUAUAUCACAUUGCUGAGUUGUAAGAAAUAACUUUGGUCAAUAAAGCUAAAAUUGUUAUCUUCCA